rnacentral:rRNA from 1 species
ACACUGUUGGGGACCGCGCUGCUAAAGAGGAGGAAGGAAAUGGGCAACGGUAGGUCAGCAUGCCCCGAAUUAUCUGGGCUACACGCGGGCUACAAUGGGUGGGACAAUGGGUAUCGACACCGAAAGGUGAAGGCAAUCUCCUAAACCCAUCCGUAGUUCGGAUUGUGGGCUGCAACUCGCCCACAUGAAGCUGGAAUCUGUAGUAAUCGUGUCUCAAAAUGGCACGGUGAAUAUGUCCCUGCUCCUU